AUGCAGUCGACGCCCCGCAAGGGGAGUGGCAGACGGGUGAGUAACGCGUGGGAACAUACCCUUUCCUGCGGAAUAGCUCCGGGAAACUGGAAUUAAUACCGCAUACGCCCUACGGGGGAAAGAUUUAUCGGGGAAGGAUUGGCCCGCGUUGGAUUAGCUAGUUGGUGGGGUAAAGGCCUACCAAGGCGACAAUCCAUAGCUGGUCUGAGAGGAUGAUCAGCCACAUUGGGACUGAGACACGCCCAAACUCCUACGGGAGGCAGCAGUGGGGAAUAUUGGACAAUGGGCGCAAGCCUGAUCCAGCCAUGCCGCGUGAGUGAUGAAGGCCUUAGGGUUGUAAAACCUCUUUCACCGAUGAAAAUAAUGACGGUAGUCGGAGAAGAAGCCCCGGCUAACUUCGUGCGAGCACCCCGCAUC
rnacentral:rRNA from 1 species